rnacentral:rRNA from 1 species
GACGUAGGGGGCGAGCGUUGUUCGGAAUUACUGGGCGUAAAGCGUGCGUAGGCGGACUUAUAAGUCAAGGUUGAAAUAUCCGGGCUCAACUCGGGGCACGGCCUUGAUACUGCGGUGCUUGAGGACUGGAGAGGAGACUGGAAUUUACGGUGUAGCAGUGAAAUGCGUAGAUAUCGUAAGGAAGACCAGUGGCGAAGGCGGGUCUCUGGACAGAUCCUGACACUGAGGCACGAAGGCCAGGGGAGCAAACGGG